rnacentral:rRNA from 1 species
ACCUGCGGAAGGAUCAUUACCGAGUUUUCGAGCUUCGGCUCGACUCUCCCACCCUUUGUGAACGUACCUCUGUUGCUUUGGCGGCUCCGGCCGCCAAAGGACCUUCAAACUCCAGUCAGUAAACGCAGACGUCUGAUAAACAAGUUAAUAAACUAAAACUUUCAACAACGGAUCUCUUGGUUCUGGCAUCGAUGAAGAACGCAGCGAAAUGCGAUAAGUAAUGUGAAUUGCAGAAUUCAGUGAAUCAUCGAAUCUUUGAACGCACAUUGCGCCCCUUGGUAUUCCGGGGGGCAUGCCUGUUCGAGCGUCAUUACAACCCUCAAGCUCUGCUUGGAAUUGGGCACCGUCCUCACUGCGGACGCGCCUCAAAGACCUCGGCGGUGGCUGUUCAGCCCUCAAGCGUAGUAGAAUACACCUCGCUUUGGAGCGGUUGGCGUCGCCCGCCGGACGAACCUUCUGAACUUUUCUCAAGGUUGACCUCGGAUCAGGUAGGGAUACCCGCUGAACUUAAGCAUAUCAA